AUUGAACGCUGGAGGCAGGCCUAACACAUGCAAGUCGAACGAGUGGCGGACGGGUGAGUAAUGUCUGGGAAACUGCCUGAUGGAGGGGGAUAACUACUGGAAACGGUAGCUAAUACCGCAUACCAUCAGAUGUGCCCAGAUGGGAUUAGCUUGUUGGUGGGUUAACGGCUCACCAAGGCGACGAUCCCUGGCUGGUCUGAGAGGAUGACCAGCCACACUGGAACUGUGCCACGGUCCACACUCCUACGGGAGGCAGCAGUGGUGAAUAUUGCACAAUGGGCGCAGUCCUGAUGCAGACAUGCCUCGGGUAUGUAGAAGGCCUUCGGGUUGUAAAGUACUUUCAGCGGGGAGGCGUUAACCGCAGAAGAAGCACCGGCUAACUCCGUGCCAGCAGCCGCGGUAAUUC
rnacentral:rRNA from 1 species